UCAAAAUGUAGAUAAAGUUGAUUUUCUCCUUAUAUGUCCAUCUGAAAAUAGCCAUUUUUGGCUAUGUGUAACUUUCAAAGGAAGGCAAUUCAGAAAAUUCACGCCUUCUAUCAGACAGCGGCGGACAUGACGCGUUGUUUGCCAUCAACGUCAGAAGAAGAAGAAGCGGGAAAACAGUAGGUGGCGUAACAUUUUAACGUUGUGUGCGCCGACCUCGAACGAAAACGAGGAAGAAGAAGAAAGAGAAGAAGAAGCGGGAACGUUUUUGGAAACGACAACCGCAACGCUUGUGACAGAAGACUUGGAGAGGAUGGACAAAAAGAAAAUGACAACAUAAGAGGUUAAGAGUUCCCACAAAGAAAAUGAAGGACCUGCAUAAUUCUCCUCCCCCAAAUGAGCAAUCUGGUAAUUCUCUGUAUGUGUGGCAAAGCGGACUACGGUUAAGCCAAAUUGCCGUGUUACAUGUAGCUAACAAACUGGAAAAAGGACUUUAUUAGUUUGUUUAGUAUUUAAAGAGCAGCUGAGAAUGCCACCUUGGGAAAGUCGCCCCAAGAAGGUUAGUAACAGUACCCUAAUUGUAAUGAGGCCACACACCUCUAAGACAGCGAUGGGCAAGCUCACCCUACUGCAUAUGCUUUAAAAUGCAUAUAGGGAUGGGGAGAGGGAAUAAUCAUAACAUUGUUGUCCAAAUGAGGUGACAAAUACCAGUCCAAAUUUUUAUACUCAAAUAAAAAAUGUUAAACACUUUCUCUUUUGCACUCUCUCUUUCAGGGUGUUUGGCCUUCGUCAGAUGGGAGGACGGUUAUACCGGCAAAAUCUUUACUGGAGCAGACAUUUUGUCAAGAGAUGAAGCUCCUGUGCAGAUCUUAGAACAGGAGAUUCUGUGUUAGCAAAGUGGUCAGAUGGUAAAUUUUAUAGGGCAACUGUUGAAUAUAUUUCAGGAAAAGUGACGGGGGACUUGUAACAGGCAGCAACACUGUUGGACCACCACCACCACCCUAUGGGAGAGAUGCAGGCAACCCAUCUGUCGAGGACACUAUCUCAUAUCGACCGCAGGCAGAAAAAUCAUGGACGCCGUGUGAUGGAUGUUGGGAGGAGUUCGAAAAAAUCCUGCGAGAAAAGCAACAAAUCGAAGAAGUCCUCUUGA